CUGAUUCUCUGAAACGCAACACCCUUUCUCUCUCUUGUUCCACAAACCCUAAAUUAAACACAAAAUCCCCUUCUCUUUGGUGCUCCAGAAACCCUAAAUCAAAAAGAGUGCGAGAUUGGUGUGGUGCACGAAGGCAAGAACUCGAAAACGAUUAUAGUGUGGUGAAAUUUGAGUAUCGUUUAUCGUAUUAAUGUGAGUGCGAUGAAUCCCUUUUUUUCUUUCAUAUUAUGUUUUGUUGUUUAAGUUAAACAGUGUAUUCAAUCUUUUUUAUUCUUUUGGAUGAGUCCUUUCAUACGAUGGGAAUAACUUGGUUUCUUCCUGUUGCUUUUGUUCCUGUAUAUAUUUUUGUGUAGACUAUGGAUCAUAAUAUUUUAAUGCUACAACAUUUUCUUUGUCUCCCUUGAUCCAUUUGUUCAAGGUGAUAUAGUUGUGUAUUUAGUUCAAGGUAACAUGGGUGUAUUCUGUUUGAGUGAUUUUGGGACUGGUUAGAGGAUUGAUAGUUGUGUGAGCCAAUUGUGGGUUGUGAGAUACUCAGAGGGCUAUUCUUGAUUUCAUAUUAUAGCUUGCAUAAAUAAAUUAUCUUUAUUCUGACAUUCACAUUGGCCUUCACUUGCCUCACUGCCUUCCAUUUAAGCGACAACAUGAUUUUAAAUCAAAUGGGGUGGGAAGAUGGUGAUCUUGAAAAAUUGAUUCAUAAUUCCUUUUUUUAGUUCCAAGCUGGUGUGAAGAUGGUGAUCCUGAAAAAUUGAUUCGAAAUUCCUUUUUUCAGUUCCAAGCCGAUUGUGCCAUUUCUGAUCUUAAGGAGUAUCUUUUGCCAUUUGAAGCACGAGAAAACACACUGAAGAAAAUGUUCGAAACUCUUUCUAGAUUUGCUGAGAAAGGACUGCUCCUUCUAGAUCACGAAGAAGACAUGAAGCUCAUCAUGAAAUUGCGAAAUCAACCCUCAUAAAACAUAACAGAGGAAGCAAGAACUCACCGCAAAGAUAAAGUCCAUUAAGAAAACAUUAAGAUCUUCUACUCCUUUAGCUUUCAAGGAUGAACUUAAAGCAAGAAAGAGACUUCUUUGGAGGCUCGGGUAAAGAAACUUAUUUAGUGCUUCAUUCUUUCCCCACCCUUUCUCUUUUUAAUUGUUAUGUUGCAAGACCUUGAAUCUUUGACUUGAAUAACGAUUAAUGUUCUGCUGGAAGCUCUUUGUAUGUCUUUUUUCUUCUGUUUCUCUUUAUUGGAUCAUUUCAGCCCCCUCCAUUCAUUUUGUGACAUUGAAAUAUAACUAUGUUGAUUUUUUUAAUUUAAUCCUAUUUUUUCUCUCGUUCUCCUCCUAGUUUCCUUCUUUAACUUAUUCAUUUCUCAUCUACCACAUGUUCGUCUAACAUCACUCGGGGUCAAUGAGGUGGUGUUAUCUGUGAAUGCUGUACUCAUUUCUUCCAUUUCUUCUCGAAAGAUANUUUUCUUUCACAUAUUUGUCAAGUCUUUCUGUUAACAAUUGUUGAGUUUCUUGUGUUUUCUUGAAUUUUUUUUUUCUGCUCACAUUCCCUCACUCCUUUAUACUCUAAUGCUCAUUUCAUGACAUCAAGGUUUUAUUCAAAACAUUACAUUCUUCAAAGUUUUUUUUUUGUUAUUUUUUUUUUCAAUUUCUUUCUUUUUUUCUAGAAUGAUAGUUUGGAUAAGAGAGAUGCAAGAAUGGGCAAAAGAAUUUCAUUUCUUUUUCUUGUUUCUUCACUUCUAAUUGUCUUUUUAUUUAUUAAUUUACUAUUAAACUUUCUUUUAAUUGUCUUCAGAAGUUUCUCUUUUGCAGAUAUUAGA